rnacentral:rRNA from 1 species
ACGGGAGGCAGCAGUGAGGAAUAUUGGUCAAUGGACGAGAGUCUGAACCAGCCAAGUAGCGUGAAGGAUGACUGCCUAUGGGUUGUAAACUUCUUUUAUACGGGAAUAAGUGAGCCACGUGUGGCUUUUUGUAUGUACCGUAUGAAUAAGGAUCGGCUAACUCCGUGCCAGCAGCCGCGGUAAUACGGAGGAUCCGAGCGUUAUCCGGAUUUAUUGGGUUUAAAGGGAGCGUAGGCGGGUUGUUAAGUCAGUUGUGAAAGUUUGCGGCUCAACCGUAAAAUUGCAGUUGAUACUGGCGACCUUGAGUGCAACAGAGGUAGGCGGAAUUCGUGGUGUAGCGGUGAAAUGCUU